UACGUAGGGUGCGAGCGUUAAUCGGAAUUACUGGGCGUAAAGCGUGCGCAGGCGGUUUUGUAAGCCAGAUGUGAAAGCCCCGGGCUUAACCUGGGAAUGGAAUUUGGGACUGCAAGGCUCGAGUGCGGCAGAGGAGACUGGAAUUCCUGGUGUAGCAGUGAAAUGCGUAGAUAUCAGGAGGAAUACCGAUGGCGAAGGCAGCCCCCUGGGCCAACACUGACGCUCAGGCACGAAAGCGUGGGGAGCAAACAGG
rnacentral:rRNA from 1 species